UGGGGAAUAUUGCACAAUGGGCACAAGCCUGAUGCAGCCAUGCCGCGUGUAUGAAGAAGGCCUUCGGGUUGUAAAGUACUUUCAGCGGGGAGGAAGGCGAUAAGGUUAAUAACCUUGUCGAUUGACGUUACCCGCAGAAGAAGCACCGGCUAACUCCGUGCCAGCAGCCGCGGUAAUACGGAGGGUGCAAGCGUUAAUCGGAAUUACUGGGCGUAAAGCGCACGCAGGCGGUCUGUCAAGUCGGAUGUGAAAUCCCCGGGCUCAACCUGGGAACUGCAUUCGAAACUGGCAGGCUAGAGUCUUGUAGAGGGGGGUAGAAUUCCAGGUGUAGCGGUGAAAUGCGUAGAGAUCUGGAGGAAUACCGGUGGCGAAGGCGGCCCCCUGGACAAAGACUGACGCUCAGGUGCGAAAGCGUGGGGAGCAAACA
rnacentral:rRNA from 1 species